rnacentral:tRNA from 1 species
ACCUAGCUGGCUCAGUCAGUGGACCCUGUGACUCUUGAUCUUAGGAUUGUGGGUUCGAGCCCCAUGUUAGGUG